AAGACGCUAGUAAAACAGAGAUUACACUGCUUUGUCAAGGCAGAAUAGCGGGUUAGAACCCCGCGCGCCUUA
rnacentral:tRNA from 1 species